rnacentral:lncRNA from 1 species
AGGAGUUAGCGGGGGACCAUCAUUAUUUUUAGGCACAAGAGUUUAGGCCGAAGCAAACGAGAAGCCUGUAGAUGGCCCAAGAUCCAUGUGUUAUGAAGCCUAUGAUGGACGACUUAUGCUUCCACAUGUAUCAAGCGAUCCAGGUCGCAUGCAACCACUCAAAAUCCCGUAAUCUCCUGUGACGCUACUCCAUGAUACCACGAGGA